rnacentral:rRNA from 1 species
UUCGCCCUUAGAGUUUGAUCCUGGCUCAGAGCGAACGCUGGCGGCAGGCUUAACACAUGCAAGUCGAGCGGGCGUAGCAAUACGUCAGCGGCAGACGGGUGAGUAACGCGUGGGAACGUACCUUUUGGUUCGGAACAACACAGGGAAACUUGUGCUAAUACCGGAUAAGCCCUUACGGGGAAAGAUUUAUCGCCGAAAGAUCGGCCCGCGUCUGAUUAGCUAGUUGGUAGGGUAAUGGCCUACCAAGGCGACGAUCAGUAGCUGGUCUGAGAGGAUGAUCAGCCACAUUGGGACUGAGACACGGCC